AACGAACGCUGGCGGCAGGCCUAACACAUGCAAGUCGAACGCUCCAGCAAUGGAGAGUGGCAGACGGGUGAGUAACACGUGGGAACCUUCCCUACGGUCGGGAAUAGCCCAGGGAAACUUGGGGUAAUACCGGAUACGCCCUUCGGGGGAAAGAUUUAUCGCCGUUGGAUGGGCCCGCGUCGGAUUAGCUAGUUGGUGGGGUAAUGGACUACCAAGGCGACGAUCCGGAGCUGGUCUGAGAGGAUGAUCAGCCACACUGGGACUGAGACACGGCCCAGACUCCUACGGGAGGCAGCAGUGGGGAAUAUUGGACAAUGGGCGCAAGCCUGAUCCAGCCAUGCCGCGUGAGUGACGAAGGCCUUAGGGUUGUAAAGCUCUUUUGGCGGGGAAGAUAAUGACGGUACCCGCAGAAUAAGCUCCGGCUAACUUCGUGCCAGCAGCCGCAGUAACAC
rnacentral:rRNA from 1 species